UAUAUAUAUAUAUUUUAAUAGUGAGGAGGUUUAAGUUGUGAAGCUUGGCUGGAAGAACAUUGCACUGCGAGUGGAGCUGCAGUUUAAGCAGGGAGUGUAAAGGUUUUCCUGGAGGUCCUGGAUCUACUGGGCUGACGCUUGUUCAUUUAAGGCCCAGGUGUUCACACCAGCGCUAGGGUACUGUGGAACAUGUGCAGCAAAGGAGAGGGCCUUCACCCAGCCUUCCAGAUCUCCCCCUACUGGUUUUCCCCUCUGGUGUAAUGGGACGCUUCAUAAUAUCUGACCUAAGUUAAUACAUGACGUAAGUGCGCACACUACAGACAGCAGUAAUACUGAUGAAUGUAUAAGUGAAUAAACUGUUUUACCUUUUUCGAGUGCUGGGAAGGCUUUUAGCUGAAUGUUGGGAAGGAGUCAGUCGAAGAUUUGCCUGGAGGUCCUGAAUCUGCAUGCACGUCUUGGAUUUGAGUUUUGCUUUUUAACGACGCAUACGUUUAUCUAUUAGUUUGGUUUAAUACUCCGAUUAGCUCAACUUUGUUUCUCUGCACAGGCUCCGUAAAUGACCAGUUCAAAUAUUACUCCAGUGCUGGUGGACCAUGUGUAAAGCAGAAGGCUCCAGUGAUCCUGAAUGCUGGUGAACAUUAGCUGUUGUACUCUGGAGUGGUGAACAUCGGGCUGCUGCAGAAGGACAUUCUGAAGAGUGGUGUUGGGAACCUGAUGGAAACCAGUCUUCUACGUACUGACAAGAAUAUUAUGGACUUGUCCGUGCUGUCUGUCUGCACCCUAGCUGAGCUGGACCAGAACUCCUGUCAGACAACUUUGUGCUCCAAGCUUGGGCUACAGGUUGUGACCUGUCCAGGUGUUACUCCAGCACUGGGCUACUGUGGUCUAUACGUGUCGCUGAAGAUGAGGUUCUCUUGUUCCAGAUCUCCACCCAGAGCUGCAAUGCCUCUCUGAGAUGGCAUGAGACUGAUCAUUGUGUCUGAUCUCCUGAAUGCUGAUGAGCAUUGGAGCCAUCAUCCUCCUGCAUGCAGUGGUGAGCAACAUAAGGCUGGAGUGUCUGAAGAUCAGAAUUCAGUAACCUGCUCAUGACUGUUGGUAUUCUGGAUCGUUUUAAGACGUUUCUGUACAUGCUGAAAAGACAAGAUGUCCUAGGCAUUUCAGUGUUGGGCAUCUGCAUCCCAGCAGAGCUUAAGAUGAACUUCUGUUUGACAACGUCUCCAGGACUCUUUAACAUUUAGUUUAAAUGGCAUUGCUUAAAGUCCAAAUACAGGAGAUCAAAAACAUCGUGCAGCGUCAUAAGCAUCAAGCAAGCCGGUGGUGACAGUGCUGAGGAACCUAACCUUCAAUUGAUUAAAAUGGAGAAAUAAACUAAACUUUGAGAAACCAGG